rnacentral:rRNA from 1 species
UUCUGGUUGAUCCCGCCAGACCUGACUGCUAUCGGAUUGGUACUAAGCCAUGUGAGUCGUUGCAGCAAUGCAAGGCAGACGGCUCAGUAACACGUAGUCAACCUAACCUAUGGACGGGGAUAACCUCGGGAAACUGAGAAUAAUACCCGAUAGAUCAUGAUACCUGGAACGGUUUAUGGUUCAAAUGAUUUAUCGCCAUAGGAUGGGACUGCGGCCUAUCAGUUUGUUGGUGAGGUAAUGGCCCACCAAGACUAUUACAGGUACGGGCUCUGAGAGGAGUGGCCCGGAGAUGGGUACUGAGACACGGACCCAGGCCCUAUGGGGCGCAGCAGGCGAGAAAACUUUGCAAUGUGCGAAAGCACGACAAGGUUAAUCCGAGUGGUUUCUGCUAAAGAGACCUUUUGUUAGUCCUAGAAACACUGAUGAAUAAGGGGUGGGCAAGUUCUGGUGUCAGCCGCCGCGGUAAAACCAGCACCUCAAGUGGUCAGGAUGAUUAUUGGGCCUAAAGCAUCCGUAGCCGGCUGUGUAAGUUUUCGGUUAAAUCUGUGCGCUUAACGUACAGGCUGCCGGAAAUACUGUACAGCUAGGAAGUGGGAGAGGUAGACGGUACUCGGUAGGAAGGGGUAAAAUCCUUUGAUCUAUUGAUGACCACCUGUGGCGAAGGCGGUCUACCAGAACACGUUCGACGGUGAGGGAUGAAAGCUGGGGGAGCAAACCGGAUUAGAUACCCGGGUAGUCCCAGCUGUAAACUAUGCAAACUCAGUGAUGCAUUGGCUUGUGGCCAAUGCAGUGCUGCAGGGAAGCCGUUAAGUUUGCCGCCUGGGAAGUACGUACGCAAGUAUGAAACUUAAAGGAAUUGGCGGGGGAGCACCACAAGGGGUGAAGCCUGCGGUUCAAUUGGAUUCAACGCCGGA